UCUUUCAUAAUUCCAGCAGCCAGUGUCCCUGAGCUGUCUUCAAGCAGUAAUAUCAAUGUGACUGCUUGCUGGUCUUUUCAUGUUGAUGGCUCACCAAAACUGCCAGCUAAUGUCUUACCUUUUGGAAAUGGAGAAAGAGUAACACCCCGUUUGGAUAAUGGAAGCUCUGAAGCAAUUACAUUGCAGCAGCCUUUCAAGUUUUUUGGACGCACACACAACCAUACCUUUGUCAACAACAAUGGCCAUCUAACGUUUACUGAGCCACUGUCCGACUACAUCCCCCUGCUGAAUUCUGAAAUAGACAUCGUUGCUCCUCUCUGGACUCACCUUGACAACAGACGAGGUGGAACUAUCUCUUAUAGAGAGGACACAAGCACUGCUGUACUGGAGCUAGUCACUGCAGCUAUUGACCAAUACU